rnacentral:lncRNA from 1 species
GUGCCCACGGAAGCUGUUUGUGACAGCUGCCCAAUUGUCUGAAUCUGAGGAGGGUGUUUUUUUUUUUUUCUUUUUUAGGCAGAAUUAGGGCUAUGAUAGAAGAGGUGAAGCAUGGGACUGUUCAUUAGAGCUUAAAAGGUUGAGUUUAUUAUAUGCAGAAGAUUGUGGGGUUCUGAGGAAAGCUCUAGUUAAAAAGGUUGAAGGAGCCCCAUGGUAGGGGACUGUUUUUUCUAGUUUUAACAGGUUCAAUUUGUUAUAUAUUGAAGAUUGUUAGGUUGGGAUGGGCUUUUGUUAAAAUGUUUGAAGAAGUCACUGUGGUAGGGGACUGUUCUUUCUGGUUUAACAGGUUGAGUAUAUUAUAUAGAGGAAUUUGGUGCUUGGAGGUGAGUUGUUGAAGAAGAAGUCCCCAUGGCAGGGGACUGCAUUUUCUGGUUUAACUAAUGGAAUUUAUUAUAUAUAGAGGAUUAUGGUUUUAUGGGGCAGGCUCUAGUUAAUAAGGUUGAAGAAGUUUGCCAUGGUAGAAUUAGAGGGAUGAAGUAUGGGGUACCAGAAAGCACUGUGUUUGGGACCUCUCUGAUUAAGCCCCAGAUCAGCUGCCAAUCACAGAGGAGUCUUAUUGUGCUUCACAGGAGAUGUUGGGGGUCAAACUCCCGGUUGAGAUCACGGAGAUUGAGCUACCCGGUUAGCUUGUCGGGGCUUUAAGGGGGCAGCACCCUUUAGAAAAAAAAAGUAUGACGAAUUUGCCCCUAUUGUAUUUUUAACCUUCUUAUGAUAUAGUAGGGUUUUGUUUUAGGAAAAAAAAUGGAGUGUGAUCGUAAUUGAGAGGAGAGUGAGAGUCUUCAGUAUUGUAACCCUUCAUUUUCAUUUGUUACUUAUUAGAAAAAAACUAAGAAACAUGGUCCGUGGCUAAGAAGAUAAGAAUUCAUUUCUUAAAUUUUAAAAAUUUUUAAAAAUAUUUUCAAGUAUACAAGAAAUAUACUUAGGUUUUGUAUAAGAAUAUUAUGUUUCUUAAAAGUCUUUUUUU